rnacentral:piRNA from 1 species
UAUGAGAGUCUGCCUCCCAAACAAU